rnacentral:rRNA from 1 species
UACGGAGGGAGCUAGCGUUGUUCGGAAUUACUGGGCGUAAAGCGCACGUAGGCGGCUUUGUAAGUUAGAGGUGAAAGCCCGGGGCUCAACCCCGGAAUUGCCUUUAAGACUGCAUCGCUUGAAUCCGGGAGAGGUGAGUGGAAUUCCGAGUGUAGAGGUGAAAUUCGUAGAUAUUGGGAAGAACACCGGUGGCGAAGGCGGCCAUCUGGACCGCAACUGACGCUGAGGCGCGAAAGCGUGGGGAGCAAACAGG